UUUCCCUGCUGGGGUCCUGUAUUCUCUUUUCUUAUUGCCUGCUGGGUUUUUAUUUUUUCUUCUAGAAGAGUUGAGAAUGUGUCACCACGUAAAGCAAACCUUCGAAACAGCUAAAGAGGAACUGAUCUCACUUGUAAGUUUUUCUGAAUCCAACGGGAAAGGCCCAUGGAAACGGGUCUCCUUCGGGAGAUUUUCUCAGCAGUGAAAUUGAAGACAAUAAUUCAAGCCUGUGCUUCCCUUCUGAAGCAAGCCACAUGGGUACAGUAACUGAACUGGCUGUGGCAGGUGUGAGCUUCGUGUUGGAGAUGAAAUUCCGCCAGUGUAGCAGGUGGGUAAAGUGUUUGAGGAAAAAAGAGAUUUAUGCAAGUAUCUUAAGUCAUUGAAGUACUUGCCUACUUAGGAGAAAGCUUAAGAAGACGGAUGACACUGAUGGGCUGCUCUUAGUUACUGUUGCUCUAAUAAAGCACCACAACAUAACGUGAUAUGUGGAAGAGUUUAUUUUACCUUACGAUUCCAGAAGGGGAGUCUAAUGGCAGGGGAGGCAUGGCAGCAGGCAGCCAGGACCGGAAGCUGAAAAACUCACAUCUUCAACCACAAACAUGAAGCAGAGAGAACGAACUGGUGGUGAGAUGAAGCGGUAAUCUUCAAAGCCCACCUUCGGUGACUUCUUCCUCCAGCAAGGCUACACUUGCUAAAGGGUCAACAAACUCUCCAAGCAGAGCCACCAUUGCACUGAAACCCCCACAGGCAUAUACAGCAAACUCAGACGAUCCAAUCCCAAUUCUGACACAUUAUAACUGCGUUGGCAAACGUACUGUGUGUCAUUUUCUCCAUCUACAAAAUGGAAUCAUAGUAACUUGUUCUUAAAUUUUGGGACAAAGAUCAAAUAUGUUAAAUAAUAGAAGAACCAACUGUGUCAAGCAUGUUACAAGUGCCUGAAGCGUCUUUGAAGAGCAGGUAGCCCCGUUAGAAGAUGAGUUCACCUGUGUCUUCAGCAUCCACAGCUACACCCCACCUCCAGAAGCUACAGCUGCCGCCAUCUGCAUCUGAGUCAGCUGGGAUGUAGCAUGCACCAGGCAGUGAAGGAGCCUGACUGCCAAACUACAGAGCAAGGGGCACUUUAAGGUGCUGGGAGGGGGGAGCGAGGAGAAAGCUAGCUAAUAGCUCGAGAGCGUGCCUUCUAAAGAGUGUGUUAACCAAACAAGCUGCCAUCCCCUAAUCCCUCCCACUCCUGCCUGAAUGUACACUAAUUGAAAAUUAAGUUUUCAAUUUGAAACCAUUUUCUAAUUCUGUCUCAUUCAGGAGCAGUUAGAGCCCCGGUGUUCUCCUGAAUUCCCAACGUGCUUUUCCUGCACUCCCUUAGGAAGCCAACAAAAGAAGCUUGUCAACACAUAACUGAGAGCAGCAGGUGGAGAGGCAGGAGUCAUGGGUGGGAGCCAAAGACAGAAGGCCUCACCCUCCCUCCUAAGGCUCCUGCUGACCUGGACUGGACAGGGAAUGUGCUUCUCUGGCCUUCGUCUACCCAAUUCAGCAGAGUUGCAACACCGUAAAUGGAAUCCUGUCAGCAUCCUGUGGCCAGUAGGUUAAGAAAGCCCAGGGCAAUAAGAGAACUUCCUUGUGGGCAGGUUAAUGAUGGAGCCCUGAUCUCUAAGGAUCACUAGCUCUGGCGACUGACCUACUUAAAAACAAAAGUACAGCAGCGUAAUGGGGGAUAGGGAAUAUGUUCCGUUGGUCGCAAAUACUUUGAAAAUGAAAACAAAAUAAGUUUAUUAGUUACUUUUCUCAUUGCUAUGACCAAAUCCCUGACAAAGGGCGACCUAAUGGAGGAAUAAUUUGCUUUGGCUCACAGUUUAAGAAAGGCUACCAUCCUUCAUGGCCGGGAAGGCACAGUAAUGGGAGCAUGAGGGAGCUGGUUACAUUGCAAGAAGCAGAGAGCAGUCAGGAAAUGGGGCUAAGCUGGUGUCUUAAUUGGGGUUUUAUUGCUGUGAAGAGGCAGUAUAACCAUGAAAACUUGUAAAAAG
rnacentral:sRNA from 1 species